CACACACACGCACACACACACAAACAAAGAGGCGUUAGGCUGAGACGCUGAAAGUCCGGAUUUAAAGUGCAGAAAAUGAAGCCAUUGAAUCUGCCUGUCCAUGACGUACAAAGACACACUAUGUGCCAGUAUGAUCCGACCAGACCUUACAUCAGCAUUGAGGAGUUGUCGGAGAAGAAAGAGGCUGAUUGAAGCGGGACAGAUGACAUGGAUCCAUCCUUCCACAGCCAGGAGUGCACCGACCUGUGUCCCACACUUCAUAUAAGACUGGAAGCUACACUGAUCUCACAGCUACACACCACAGACGUCUACACACUGGAGAAGAGUCCCACAAAGAAGUCAUGACCCAGAGGCUGCAGAGAAACAUUUCAAGCCUCAUCUGAGUUUUUGUACAAUAUUUUUGCUGUAUGUAAAUAAAGCUUUCACUCCACAUAUA